GCAUUGUAUGAAAGGAGAGGUUAGCUCUCUCCUUGACAAAAAUGAAAGAGGCCCUCAGGCCUGACAACUCGAAUAGAGUCUACUUCCAGCAUCUAACCUUUGAUUUUU
ensembl:snRNA